GAUGAACGCUGGCGGCGUGCCUAAUACAUGCAAGUCGAGCGAACGGACGAGAAGCUUGCUUCUCUGAUGUUAGCGGCGGACGGGUGAGUAACACGUGGAUAACCUACCUAUAAGACUGGGAUAACUUCGGGAAACCGGAGCUAAUACCGGAUAAUAUUUUGAACCGCAUGGUUCAAAAGUGAAAGACGGUCUUGCUGUCACUUAUAGAUGGAUCCGCGCUGCAUUAGCUAGUUGGUAAGGUAACGGCUUACCAAGGCAACGAUGCAUAGCCGACCUGAGAGGGUGAUCGGCCACGCUGGAACUGAGACACGGUCCAGACUCCUACGGGAGGCAGCAGUAGGGAAUCUUCCGAAAUGGGCGAAAGCCUGACGGAGCAACGCCGCGUGAGUGAUGAAGGUCUUCGGAUCGGAAAACUCUGUUAUUAGGGAAGAACAUAUGUGUAAGUAACUGUGCACAUCUUGACGGUACCUAAUCAGAAAGCCACGGCUAACUACGUG
rnacentral:rRNA from 1 species